UACGUAGGGGGCUAGCGUUGUCCGGAAUUAUUGGGCGUAAAGAGCUCGUAGGCGGUCUGUCGCGUCGGCUGUGAAAUCUCGGGGCUCAACCCCGAGCCUGCAGUCGAUACGGGCAGACUAGAGUGCUGUAGGGGGAGACUGGAAUUCCUGGUGUAGCGGUGAAAUGCGCAGAUAUCAGGAGGAACACCGAUGGCGAAGGCAGGUCUCUGGGCAUUAAACUGACGCUGAGGAGCGGAAAGCAUGGGGAGCGAACAGG
rnacentral:rRNA from 1 species